UACAGAGGGGGCAAGCGUUAUUCGGAAUUAUUGGGCGUAAAGGGCGCGUAGGCGCCUGGCAAGUGGAAGGUGAAAUCCCUCGGCUUAACCGAGGAACUGCCUCCCAAACUGCUUGGCUUGAGACCGGGAGAGGUGAGUGGAAUUCCCAGUGUAGCGGUGAAAUGCGUAGAUAUUGGGAGGAACACCAGUGGCGAAGGCGGCUCACUGGACCGGUACUGACGCUGAUGCGCGAAAGCGUGGGGAGCAAACGGG
rnacentral:rRNA from 1 species